UUUUCAUGAGUGUAUAUUUGCAAGUCUAUAUGGGGAGAAUUGCUAUAACAUAUUGUAUCUGCUUGAUGAUAUUUGUGUUGUAUUUGCAGAGUAAAUGAAUGUUCUGAACUGUUUUUGAAAUUUGUUUUUACUCUGUUAUAUGUGGAACUGUGCAAACAUGAUUGAGUUAUUAAUCAUGGUUGUGCAUCAUCAAAAAAGGGGGAGAUUGUUGAGAUUGCUGACAACACAAACUCUAUAUCAAACUGGUUUUUGAUGAUGACAACACAUUGCUUAAUAACAGU
rnacentral:lncRNA from 1 species